rnacentral:rRNA from 1 species
UAAGGAAUAUUGGGCAAUGGAGGCAACUCUGACCCAGCCAUCCCGCGUGAAGGAUGAAGGCCCUAUGGGUUGUAAACUUCUUUUGUUUGGGAAGAAAUCAGGACAUUCAUGUGCUGUUGACGGUACCUUACGAAUAAGCACCGGCUAACUCCGUGCCAGCAGCCGCGGUAAUACGGAGGGUGCAAGCGUUAUCCGGAAUCACUGGGUUUAAAGGGUGCGUAGGCGGCUAAAUAAGUCAGAGGUGAAAGCUGGCAGCUCAACUGUCAAACUGCCUUUGAUACUGUUUGGCUUGAAUCAGGUUAAGGUAGGCAGAAUGUGGCAUGUAGCGGUGAAAUGCAUAGAUAUGCCAUAGAAUACCAAUUGCGAAGGCAGCUUGCUGGGCCUGAAUUGACGCUGAGGCACGAAAGCGUGGGGAUCAAACAGGAUUAGAUACCCUGGUAGUCCACGCCCUAAACGAUGUUAACUCGACAUAUGGUCUUCGGAUUGUGUGUCCAAGCGAAAGCGUUAAGUUAACCACCUGGGGAGUACGUUCGCAAGAAUG